rnacentral:misc_RNA from 1 species
CAACCCUCAGGCCUCGCGUCUGGCGUUGGGGCGCUGCGGCCCUCCCGCAGGCCCCCAAAUCUAGCGGCGGAUCCGCCGCGGCCCUGAGCGCAGUAGUUUGACUCGAACGCUCCGGCGGCCGUGGCGCGGUUCUGCCUCCCGCCCCACAGCGCCGAUGGCGCUACUCCCAAA